GGCGAGUGGCGCACGGGUGCGCAACGCGUAUGGAACCUGCCCCCUACCGGGGAAUAGCCCAGAGAAAUUUGGAUUAACGCCCCAUGGCACCUAUUGACGGCAUCGUCUUUGGGUUAAAGGUUACGGUAGGGGAUGGCCAUGCGUACCAUUAGCUAGUUGGUGGGGCAACGGCCCACCAAGGCGACGAUGGUUAGGGGCCCUGAGAGGGGGAUCCCCCACACUGGUACUGAGACACGGACCAGACUCCUACGGGAGGCAGCAGUGAGGAAUAUUGGACAAUGGGCGGAAGCCUGAUCCAGCCAUGCCGCGUGCAGGAAGACCGCCCUAUGGGUCGUAAACUGCUUUUAUACGGGAAGAAGAAGCGCCACGUGUGGCGUGCUGACGGUACCGUACGAAUAAGGACCGGCUAACUCCGUGCCAGCAGCCGCGGUAAUACGGAGGGUCCGAGCGUUAUCCGGAAUCAUUGGGUUUAAAGGGUCCGUAGGCGGGGCGCUAAGUCAGGGGUGAAAGUUUGCGGCUCAACCGUAAAAUUGCCUUUGAUACUGGCGUUCUUGAGUUGCGUUGAAGUUGCCGGAAUAUGUAGUGUAGCGGUGAAAUGCAUAGAUAUUACAUAGAACACCGAUUGCGAAGGCAGGCGACUAAUCGCACACUGACGCUGAUGGACGAAAGCGUGGGUAGCGAACGGGAUUAGAUACCCCGGUAGUCCACGCCGUAAACGAUGGAUACUAGCUGUGGGGCGCUCAAGUUCUGCGGCCAAGCGAAAGUGAUAAGUAUCCCACCUGGGGAGUACGUUCGCAAGAAUGAAACUCAAGGAAUUGACGGGGGCCCGCACAAGCGGUGGAGCAUGUGGUUUAAUUCGAUGAUACGCGAGGAACCUUACCAGGGCUUAAAUGUGUUAUGACAGGCUUAGAGAUA
rnacentral:rRNA from 1 species